CAGCAGCCGCGGUAAUACGAAGGGUGCAAGCGUUAAUCGGAAUUACUGGGCGUAAAGCGUGCGUAGGCGGUUUGUUAAGUCUGUUGUGAAAUCCCCGGGCUCAACCUGGGAAUGGCAAUGGAUACUGGCAAGCUAGAGUGUGUCAGAGGAUGGUGGAAUUCCCGGUGUAGCGGUGAAAUGCGUAGAGAUCGGGGGGAACAUCAGUGGCGAAGGCGGCCAUCUGGGACAACACUGACGCUGAGGCACGAAAGCGUGGGGAGCAAACAGGAUUAGAUACCCGAGUAGUCCCUGUCUCUUAUAA
rnacentral:rRNA from 1 species